CGUAAGCCCUCGUAAAAUAAAGGACGGCUGCUUUAAUUCUUUCGGUAUAAAAGAAUAGGAAUGUACACCCUUCUCACGCAAAAGGGUCAUCAUUGACGAGUGGACAGACGGAUCGGAAAAAAACAAUUUACUCUUGUUUUUGUUUAUAUUCUUUACCUUAAAAGAAAACUUUGGUAUUGUGUCUCUUAAGGAGCCAACAAGCGCCUUAGUGUUGACAUUGUAAACAAAAGAUGGUGGAUGCCAGUUUGGCCUUGUCGCACCAUUGUUGUUGUUAUUAUUUUUAUUACCAGUAACUUGCGUUGCCGCGGAAGCAAAUCCACUUGAGUGAGAACAUUGAAGAUACCCAAGGAGUUGUCAUCUGUCUGCUUAUGCCUCUUCAGUCUUUUUCUGAGCUCCGGGAUUACGAUUUCAUUUAAAUUUGUUGCAUUUUCAGUACGCUGCCUCUUACAAGCAUUUUGGUGCGCGGCCAUGAUGUCAUUAUUCUGCGAUGUUGAAGCAUCCACCUCACCGACAUAAUAUCAACAUUAGAUUAACAUGACCACCAGGCAUGUGGUGGAUUUUAUUUUGGAGACGAGCUUUUCUUCUUCCAUUUAGAAACAACAACAUUGAAAGCUGUUUUUUUAAGUUCCGAGUGCUCAGGGUUCGAGCUUAAUGACCAAGCGAAAACAACACCCAAAGGAGAGAUUGUUAAAUGAGUCUUGAAGAAAAGAACAUUACAUCAACAUUAGAUCAACAUGACCACCAGGCAUGUGGUGGAUUUUAUUUUGGAGACGAGCUUUUCUUCUUCCAUUUAGAAACAACAACAUUGAAAGCUGUUUUUUUAAGUUCCGAGUGCUCAGGGUGUACGUACUAUCAUCUUUUUCAUCUGUUUGGCUUUUUAACAGCCGGUCAUACAAGUAAAUUUUUGUUUCAUUGUUUUUAAAGUCGAGCUUAAUGACUAAGCGAAUACAACACCCAAAGAAGAGAUUGUUUAACGAGUCUUGAAGAAAAGAAGUUGCCAGUUCCUCAGACAAGGCAGGACAUAUGUCACACCACUGGUGGACGCGUUUCGAUAAUUGGAUUACUUUUAUCUCAUCGGCGCCAUUAUUAUUUUAAUAAUAACCCCUCAGGUAAAUGCCCCAAAACUGUCGUGCCUGAAAGCAAAAUGUUACACUCGUCGCUUGAUGGCGUUGAUAUCCCCAUUAAAUCAGGCUUUAAAUACCUGGGUAUCCACUUUUAUAAGCUGCUGAAGUUUAAUCACCAUGGCCGAACAACAUUGCAGAAGGCACAACGGAUAGCAGGGAUGUCUCAUACCUUUCCAACAAUAAGCAUUUACCAACAAAUACAAAACUUUUUUGUAUAAAGUUGCCAUUCGACCUAUUUUGACUUAUGGAUUUCCGAUCUGGUUUACUAUUUCUCCAAUAGUAGCCAAAGGAUUGGAAGUAUUUGAAAAGAAAAUCCUACGAAAGUGCAUAAACAAAUAUUAUAUAUGUUCAACCAAGAAAUACUCCAAUACUUACAUUUAUAACACCGCAGAAGUCCUGCCUUUCUGUAUGUACGUGAUGCACCUUCAAAAGAAGUUUGUUGAAAAUCUUGCUACACAUGAAAAUGUAUUAUGUCCAAAAUUUAUAACAGAAAGAGGGAUUUGCAAUGGUCCAGUUCCGCUUAUCUCCCACCUGUGGGUGUAAUUCAUGAGAAUAUAGACAACGACUUGGAGCAGUUUAUCAUACCGCCAUUCUACUCCAGAACCUCGCCUGGGACCCAUAGAGGUUAAAUAGAUAACAAAAGAAUUUAGAUAGGUGUAAUUUGUAACUACUUACCCCAAUUAGUAAAAGAGCUUUGCUCAUAUCGUAUAUUCAGCUAAAUUUUUCAAAAAAAAACCAAAUAUUUAUAUAUGAUGUCCCCGAUGAACAUUCCUUCUACUUACCUAUUUUUAUAAAAAAAAAGUUUCUAAUACAACUUUUUACUCUUACCGAUUUAUACAAUUAAUGUGAAACCAACAUAAUAGUUUACUAUUUUCGCCAUGAACACUGACAGUUUUUUCUGUUAUCUAGUUUUUAAGUAUUAAGUUUUUUUAUAGUUGUUAUUGUUUACAGACCAUGCUCUGUGAGAGAAAUCCCAAGGCCGUGAGCAAGCCUUAUUUUUUGCAUUCACUUUAUUUUUAAACAUUAUGUUCAAAGUUCAGAAAAGGCAUGUUGCAUCUCUACCUUCAAUGUGUAUUAGCACAAGACGAUUAUAGUUCUAAGAGUUAUGUUAACAAUUCGUGAUAACACAUUCUCAUUGUAACUGAAAAUAAGAAGACUCCAAUAAAGUAUUUACUUACUUACUUAUUUA